UUGAACAUGUUUGAUGCUUCAACGACCUUCUAUGCAUCAUGUAGCACAAUAUUAUGUGAUGUCAUAUUGUGAUUAUUAUGUGAUGAUUCGCGAGACGGCAUAAAGUGUUUUGUUUGGAAGAAGGUUUCGUGCUGAAAUUUAAAAUUAGUGCGAUUCCCUGUGCAAUAUACCGGUUUUGUGGCAAUUACAGUGUUUAUUUAGUUCAUUUUACUGCAGUGCAAGUUUUUAGCAAGAUAUAUCCGUGAUAAGCCGAACGUAUAAAGAAGGAAGAAAGCAGUGAGACAACAGGGUGACAGCAAAAUGCAAUAGCUGGAUAAAUAAAAGAUUAAUUAGUUAUGCUUCAUCGUCCUAAUGUUUCAGAUUCUUCUACAGCGGAUAUUUGAUGACAAAAAGCGAGUGAAAAAAGAAUGCAACUAUGGACGGACGGCAUAAACCAACUCGAUUAAACUACUAUACAUACACGUCGUUAUUGUUGUGCAAACAAUUAUAAGGGAAAUUAUACUGUGAAGCGUAUGCUGCACAAAAUUGUCCCGGUCUGCCAACCAUUUCCUCGCGCCCUUCUGAUUCGAUUGCUCAUGAUCAGACUGUGCAAUUUUAAAAUGACGAGACGCACGAAGACACGACUGACAAGAUGAUUCAUGUACGACGACCGACAGCAGCGGACACGCUACUACAAUCUGGCGACGAGGAUUUUGGAAUUUAACGCAGAAAACAAGGAAAAAAGAUGCAAGAAAUGCGACCAGUACCAAUGUUGCUGUGCGAUAAAAUCGAAACUGCUAAACUCGCAACAGAAUGGAAAAUUUGGAAGGAAGCGUUGGAAUGCUACUUUGCAGCGUACAACGUAACGGACCAAACGGAGAAAAAAGCAAAACUACUACAUCUCGGAGGACCGGCACUACCGAGAGUGUUUAAAAAUUUA